CCUUGCAUUGUUAAUGUGAUUAAAACUGAUGUCGCAGACGAAGCCGACAUGGAUAUAGAGAUGCUUGACGUCCCUGAACAAAUGCAUAUCCCCGAACAGGAGGAAGACGUCAACAUGAUCGAGGCCUCUGGAGAAGGGCACCCUCUUGAUGAGUUGGAUUCUCGAAUUAUCGAGUCUGAACCAAAUGCAAUCUAACGGAAGAACUUGAAACUUUUUCCACCAACUCUCAAGACCCCACUCAGGUCUUGCGAAUGGGAAAAGUACUGCCUCCUAAAAUAAAAGAGAAACUGAUGAAUUUCCUGAAAAGAAAUUUGGACGUCUUUGCUUGAAAGCAUGAGGACAUGGUGGGAAUAGACCCAGGGGUCGGUUGCCAUCAUCUUAACAUCAACUCCACCUAUACCCCCACAUCGAUAAAAGAGACGAGCCCUCAAUCCAGAGCGAUAUGAGGCACUCAAAGAAGAGGUUGACAAAUUGAGCCACAACGGCUUCAUCAGAGAAUUCAUCUACCCGAAGUGGAUAUCCAACUCAGUCUUUGUGAAGAAACCUAGCAAAAAAUGGAGGGUAUGCGUUAUACGGAUGAGUGUGAAAUAGACGGAUGAGUGUGAAAUAGCCUUCCAAACGCUAAAGAAGCACUUGGGAGAGGAACCCAUGCUAUCGAAGCCCAAAUCAGGAUCAGUGCGAUUCUCAUCAGGAAGGAAGACACACGCCAACGACUAGUGUAUUACACUAGCAAAUCAUUGCUCCAAGUAGAGACGCGCUACUCAAAUAUGGAGAAACUUGCACUCUCCCUUAUCACAGCAUCGAGGAAACUGAGGUCAUAC
rnacentral:lncRNA from 1 species